UUAAAUUUGAUUUUUUUUUAAAGUCAGGAAUUCCAAGGGGGAGGGAAGGAGGAAGGGAAGGGGAGAGAGAGAAAGAAAGAAAGAAAAUAAAUAAAAAGAAAUGAAAAAAGAAAGAAAGGAAAGAAAAAGAAAGAAAGGAAAGAAAAAGAAANNNNNNNNNNGAAAGAAAGAAAGAAAGAAAGAAAGAAAGAAAGAAAGAAAGAAAGAAGAAAGAAAAAGACUAGGAAAAGAAGGAUGCGUUAUGUUAUUGGUUCCAUACAAGCAUCGGGUGUUAAGAGAGAUGCCACAAAAUUCUUUGUAGUGUUGAAUAUUCUUCCUUCACUGAUUGUCAAUAUUGAAUGAGAGUUUUGGCAGGCAAAUGUGUUUGACUACUCAAAUACAAACCUAACAAGGUCAGGAGGACAGUCAUGAAAUCAUAAGCUUAAAGUAGCAACUGGACCAAAAUGAAGUUGAUUUUAAGAUGCCUUCUGAGGGUGCUGAUGCUCUCUUGACUUAUGUCUUCCAGGUGCUCUGGAUCCCAGUCUUCUGGUGGCUCAACUCUCCAGUGGAAGCAAGGGCCAUUAUCUGGGAAGUCCAAACCUUCAAUUCUCACGUUACAACAAACCCCUUUACCAGCUGCUGGGUGGCCAGGCAACUACCAGGCAGGUGGGAACAACCCCUCAAGGAGCUUACAGCCUUGAAAACUGUGUCACCAAACUGGCAGAGAUGGAACGCCGGGUGCGGGAAGCCAUGGCUGAACGAGAACGAUUGCUGCAAGAAAGGGAAGCGAAGAA
rnacentral:lncRNA from 1 species